rfam:Trichobilharzia regenti genome assembly, scaffold: TRE_scaffold0124232
GGAACGGCCCUCUUUAGGGCCACCACAUAUUUGAUUUCGUUUACUU